UAGGGAAUAUUGGACAAUGGGGGCAACCCUGAUCCAGCCAUGCCGCGUGAGUGAAGAAGGCCCUCGGGUUGUAAAGCUCUUUUGUCCGGAAAGCAAAGCAUUCGGUGAAUACCCGGAUGUUCUGCCGGUACCGGAAGAAUAAGCACCGACUAACUUCGUGCCAGCAGCCGCGGUAAUACGACGGGUGCAAGCGUUACUCGGAAUUACUGGGCGUAAAGCGUGCGUAGGUGGUUGUUUAAGUCUGAUGUGAAAGCCCUGGGCUCAACCUGGGAAUGGCAUUUGAAACUGGGCAGCUAGUGUGCGGUAGAGGGUAGUGGAAUUCCAGGUGUAGCAGUGAAAUGCGGAGAGAUCGGGAGGAACAUCUGUGGCGAAGGCGACUGCCUGGACCAGCACUGACACUGAGGCACGAAAGCGUGGGGAGCAAACA
rnacentral:rRNA from 1 species